AGGAAUGUAGCUCAGCAGUAGAGCUUUUGCCUAGCAUGCAUGCAGCCCUAGGUUCAAUUCCCAGUAUUGCCA
rnacentral:tRNA from 1 species